rnacentral:misc_RNA from 1 species
AAUAAGCCGGCUCUUCUGAAAUGUAUUAGCAGAUCCUCUUUGUAAUUGGUUCCUACUCAACGUGAUAAGUAUUUCGUUGAGGACAUUUCCUUUAUUGGGAAUGGCCAAGAUAAGAAGAGUUCAUCAAGAUCCGCUUCUAAACACCACCUAAUUUUACAUGAUCUGGCCUCAAAUCAGGCGGGACUACCCGCUGAACUUAA